GCAUUGGUGGUUCAGUGGUAGAAAUUCGCCUGCCAGCGGGAGGCCCGGGUUCGAUUCCCGGCCAAUGCA
rnacentral:tRNA from 1 species